AAUGAUGAGCUUGCAAGUGAUGCGCAGUAGUGGACUAACCAAUGCGACUCGCCGACACAAAUUUUACUGUGUUUGUGGAUUCGUGGAAUAAUAUGGCAGAUUAUUAUAACUUCGAAAACAACAACUGUACCCGUGAUUUUUGUUAUCCUUACACUCAGAUAGUGUGGGCUGCAACUUCUCUCGUUGGAUGUGGCAUGACUGAAUGUGAAGAAAUGGGAGACACUGAAUUCGUGGGAAAAUUAUUCGUCUGUAUGUACGGACCCAGCUGGCUAUAAUGUCACGAGAGGGUUCUGGUGGAAACUUCUGGGGUGACAGGGGGCUUAGCAGGAUGCAGAAAAAUCAAACCACUAUGUGUAUACUCAUAUGGGCCUGAACAAAGCACUAGGACAAGAUCUCCCAACGGUCCUUAUUUGCGGUGCGGAGGGUCACAAUAAAUGACCCUGUGAUUAAGGCCUCGUUGGCCAUUCAGUAAGGUCACUGUAGCGAGAGCCUUUGUCAUUGGUCGAAGUUCAUCCUGAUCUAGACCAAUGAUAUCCAUGGAGAUAAACCAAAUAAAUCUGAAAACGGUUACUUCAUAAAAAAAAGGGGACAGUCUCAUCAGUUUACAUACUGAUAGGGAACAUUUAUAUCUCAUCAGAACUUUAUUGAUCAAUCUCUAUGAAUCUUUUGAUCAAUAAAAUUCCACGGUGAAGAUAUUAACUUUAUUCAUCAAGAAUUAUUCAUAAUACUCACAAUCACUUUAAGAAAAGAGGGACAAAAAUUAAUUCAAAUUCAUGUAAUU